UAUCUCCUUAAACAUUCAUCGU
rnacentral:miRNA from 1 species